CUGCGUAUUCAAGACUCGUGGAGCUUCAAGAUCAGACGCGACGAGCACAGUCCACGCCACGUUUUCUAAGCACAGGCCACGCCACGCAAUGAUGCCCCAAGCCAAGUUCUCCAAUGCAACCGACCAUGAAUGAUGUCUAUCGCGAGGUGAAGGAAGGUCCAUUCCGCGGACUCCGUAUGGAAGGCGUGUGCCAAGCAGCCGGCCGACGACGUGGCGGAGUCCAAGGCACGGUACGCUUUGUGUCUCUUGUCGGGCGCCCCUAGGGGACCCUGUCGUUCGGUUCUACGACUGAGGGGGUUCAGCAUGAGGGCUUGUCGUCUUCGUUCAUUUUGCCAUUUCAACGCGAAAAAGAGAGGUUUUUAUAUUAAAUAGGCCUUCCCUCUCUUACGCUGUUGAAGGGCUUAAGAAAGUUGACGACAUGGUGCGGGAUGGAGUCCGGGACGUGCUGGGACGUGCUUCGGACUCGCCUUUGCCGUUAGUCUGACGGCUCGCACUUAACUUGAUGGGUUAACCCUCUAUGCUCUCCGGCGGCUGUCGUAGAAGAUUAGGCACUGAAGUAGAUGAUGUUACAACAAACAGCCUCCAGCAACAACCCAUCCAAAGUGAACAACGUAAUCUCACGUCAUA